rnacentral:misc_RNA from 1 species
AGUAUCAAAUGAUUUACAAGCUUUGGAUAUCGAUGCGGAUUGGUAUCCAACAGAGUUAAAUGGCGAAAAAGGAUCCAUUUAACUGAUCUUAACUAGUUUGUGAUUAAGGCUUAGUUGUUGUUUUGAAUAACCAAAUUUUCUCCACUGUUCAAGCACACUGCAAAGGUAACAAAUCAUAAAUUAAAUGAAAUAUGUUAUUUUGUUUCUUUUUAUUGUGAGUUUCAUAGGUUGGGUCUUUUCCUGUUCACAUGAACUAAUAGUUUAGGACUUGUUAUGUAUCAUAGGCAAAUUUCAUAAUUAACGAGUUAAUAAUUUUGAAUUGUGGUUAAUAAUUCAAAAUUUGGCACUUCUUAAUUAAUUCCAUAAGAUAUUUGGGGAUUUAUACGUCUGUCGUUUUUCUUAAUAUAUCUAGAUUGGAUUUUUUGGGGGUUAUCAGAGAAUCAUGUGUUAUUGCAUUCUUGCUUAUAAGACAAUUAUUGAUCAACUGCUCUAGGGAUAUUAAAAGUCUA